rnacentral:rRNA from 1 species
GACGAACGCUGGCGGCGUGCUUAACACAUGCAAGUCGAACGGAAAGGCCCUGCUUGCAGGGUACUCGAGUGGCGAACGGGUGAGUAACACGUGGGUGAUCUGCCCUGCACUUCGGGAUAAGCCUGGGAAACUGGGUCUAAUACCGGAUAGGAGCCAUUUUUAGCGUGAUGGUUGGAAAGUUUUUUCGGUGUAGGAUGAGCUCGCGGCCUAUCAGCUUGUUGGUGGGGUAAUGGCCUACCAAGGCGGCGACGGGUAGCCGGCCUGAGAGGGUGGACGGCCACAUUGGGACUGAGAUACGGCCCAGACUCCUACGGGAGGCAGCAGUGGGGAAUAUUGCACAAUGGGCGCAAGCCUGAUGCAGCGACGCCGCGUGGGGGAUGACGGGCUUCGGGUUGUAAACUCCUUUCGCUAGGGACGAAGCUUUUUGUGACGGUACCUAGAUAAGAAGCACCGGCUAACUACGUG